AAGAUGGCGACCGGCGCACGGGUGAGUAACACGUAUCCAACCUGCCGAUAACUCCGGAAUAGCCUUUCGAAGAAAGAUUAAUACCGGAUGGCAUACGAAUAUCGCAUGAUAUUUUUAUUUAAAGAAUUUCGGUUAUCGAUGGGGAUGCGUUCCAUUAGUUUGUUGGCGGGGUAACGGCCCACCAAGACUACGAUGGAUAGGGGUUCUGAGAGGAAGGUCCCCCACAUUGGAACUGAGACACGGUCCAA
rnacentral:rRNA from 1 species